AGGGUCUCCAGGAUCACACCCUGGGCUGCAGGCGGCGCUAAACCGCUGUGCCACCGGGGCUGCCCUGGCUCUUAUAUUUUAAAUUCACCAGUGAAGAGUGAGCCCGAGAAACCCAAGGCCCCCACCCUCCACCCCAAUAAAAGCAGAAUCCCAGAGCUGGUCUCUCUCUCUCUCUACCUGUGAGCUUGCUGUGUGGCCCCACUGGGCUGUGUAACUUCCAGGACUUCCAAAGAAUCCAAGGGACCAAAUAUGUGAAUUGAUCUUUAACACUGGCAGCGUUGAGCCUACCAUUUGCUUAAAGGUGUGACCAUAAUAAAUAAGUUAUGUAUUUCGUUUACCUGGUACCAUGGCUGACAUGUGGAAGAUGCUUAGUAAAUAUGAGAAAGUAUUAUUACUGCUGGAAGAAGAAAGGGGAAGAUAAAGAGUUAUGGUUGUUUCAGGGAAUGUCUGGGAUCUUUCAUCUUUGUGAAGUCUGGUGUCCACGGCUAUGCAUCCAUCCAUCCAUCCAUCCAUCCAUCCAUAUAUCUUCCUCCUUGGAUGUACAUUAGAGAAACUCUUCAUAUAGAA